rnacentral:rRNA from 1 species
ACUCCUACGGGAGGCAGCAGUAGGGAAUCUUCCACAACGGACGAAAGUCUGAUGGAGCAACGCCGCGUGAGUGAAGAAGGGUUUCGGCUCGUAAAACUCUGUUGUUAAAGAAGAACAUAUCUGAGAGUAACUGUUCAGGUAUUGACGGUAUUUAACCAGAAAGCCACGGCUAACUACGUGCCAGCAGCCGCGGUAAUACGUAGGUGGCAAGCGUUGUCCGGAUUUAUUGGGGCGUAAAGCGAGCGCAGGCGGUUUUUAAGUCUGAUGUGAAAGCCUUCGGCUCAACCGAAGAAGUGCAUCGGAAACUGGGAAACUUGAGUGCAGAAGAGGACAGUGGAACUCCAUGUGUAGCGGUGAAAUGCGUAGAUAUAUGGAAGAACACCAGUGGCGAAGGCGGCUGUCUGGUCUGUAACUGACGCUGAGGCUCGAAAGUAUGGGUAGCAAACAGGAUUAGAUACCCUGGUAGGAUAGCG